GUGUGUGUGUGUGUGUGUGUGUGUGUGUGUGUGUGUGUGUGUGUGUGUGUAGGUGAGUGAAGCGCUGCGUGUUCAGAUGGCUGAAGACAGACAGACAGCGGUGGAGAGAGACAGGAGGAGACAGACGAGACAGACAGACGCUCUUCUGGAGCGAGUGCAUGACAUCCUCAACAACAUCCAGGUCAGUUUCACUGCUGUCCAGAAACAAGGAUAAAAUAUUCUGUUCAUAUGUAAUGGUCUGUAAUAGAUCUUCAGUCUCUCUAUUUUUUUAAAUUUAUUUAAUAAUAUUAUUUUCUUCAUUUUAAUUAAUACAGAGAAUGUUGCAAAUGUAAACAAUUUAAUAUAGACUUGUUUAGUAAUAAGCACUGAACAACUACUACAACUGAUUAUUAAUCUCACGUUGUUUUGUAUGUAUAUCUUAAACUACAUUGUUGAAAUAAAUAACUGUAAUUAACACCUGUUGCUUAGGACAUUUAGUUUAGGAUUAUAAGCAUGAUUGACCAAGAGUGUCUCAACAGAGACGUCACACACACACUCACACACACACUCACUCACACUCACACACACACACUCACUCACUCACACACACACACUCACUCACUCACACACACACUCACUCACACACACACACACGCACACACACACAGAGACACACACACAGACACACACACACACAGAGACACACACACACACAAACACACACACACACACACAUAUACACACACACAGACACACACACGCACACACAAACAGAGAUACACACACACACACACACACAGUCUUACAGAAUGAGUGAGGAUCAUCCUCUUCAGACUCACUCACUGAAUAAAGUGCAGUAUCUGCUGCUGGAUAUCUUUGUCUAGCUUCUGUAGAGAAUGUCAGUCUAUUUUCUGUUCCCGCAGCUGAAGAAGGUGCAGAAGGAGCCGGACAGCGCAGAGACGCCCACAUCAGACUCCUCUCUGACUCUCGGGUCCAAAACGAGCCCGAUGCGCUCCAUCAGAACCAGCGCGAGGCCGAGUACAGCUCCAGCUCAGAAGCAGACGCUCAGCCCCAGCAGCUCUCUGAAGAGAGAGACCCUCCGCCUGCUCAACCAGCGCAUGGAGAAGCUGGCGUCUGACGCGUCCAGCGACGGCUCGGUCCCAGCAUCCCCUUAUUCCAGCCUCUGUCUCAGUCUGAUGGGCUCCUACGCCCAGUUACCCAGCCCUCAGCCCAGCCGCAGCCCACGAGCGAACGCAUGCGCCGGAAACAUCCUCAUCUCCAGCCCCGUCAGCGAGUCCGAGCUCAGCACCACUGGAUCUAACAACAAUGAGCAAGCUUUCACCGCAUCUUCACCGCCCUCUUCUGCUGCAGAAUGGAACUGCAGCGGUUCAGAGUUCAGUGAUAGACAGCUGUCAAUCAUUACCUCCACACCCAGCAGCACCAGCAGCUGGACAGGAAUGACCGGGUUCGAUGAAACACAAGAUGAGAGCGGUGAGAAACCCAGACCGGCCCGUCGCUCAGCCCCGGCGCCCCUCAACCGCUCCUAUGAUGUAGAAAACCCCUCGCCAUCUCUGAACAGACCACAUGUGGAUUCAGUCGGGCCGAACCCAAGCCGAUUAGACACAGAAGGACACUCACAGCGGCUCCUGGAUGACCAGGUGAACCUCAGACAGCUCACUGGAGGGGAGCAGCAGAUCCAGGCUCUGGAAGUGUUGCGUGAGCGUUUAGAGAGAGAACACGCUCCGCAGAUCUCGCGGGAGAGACAAACACAACACCCCCAGCAGGUAUCGCUCCACACACACCACACUAUAUAUAAGGCAUUAUGUAUUAUGUAAAGUGAGACAUGAGUGAGAUAUAAUGCAGAAGUGUGUGUGUGCAGGAGAUCCAGAGGAAGCUGAACGAACACAGCGGCCUGACGUCAACGAAACACACUUCACACACACAGGUGUGUCGCUCCGGCCAGGGCUUCUGAGGGCUUCAUGCUGCAAAAUACACUUUCUGCAACUGUGUUUUGCAUGAUAUUUUUGUCACUAGAUAAUUAGAUAAUUGUAAUAAACGUGAUUAUUCCCUUUGGUUAAGAACUGCU
ensembl:lncRNA